rnacentral:rRNA from 1 species
CUUUACUGUAACCUGGUAUUGGGUUCGGGCUUUGACUGCGCAGGAUAGGUGGGAGACUUUGAAGUAGUCCUUGUGGGGACUAUGGAGUCAACGGUGAGAUACCACUCUGUCAGAGCUAGAAUUCUAACCUUCACCCGUUAUCCGGGGAAGGAACCGUAUCAGGCGGGCAGUUUGACUGGGGCGGUCGCCUCCUAAAUGGUAACGGAGGCGCGCAAAGGUGUUCUCAGGCUGGUUGGAAAUCAGCCGCAGAGUGUAAAGGCAGAAGAACGCUUGACUGUGAGAGUGACAACUCAAGCAGGGUGGAAACACGGCCUUAGUGAUCCGACGGCUUGUGCGUGGAAAUGCCGUCGCUCAACGGAUAAAAGUUA